CCUGGAGAUCAUCUACCUGCUGACUGGAGAGGAUUAUGAAGUAGUGAAGAAAAUAUCUGGUGAGCCAUUAACACCCAACAGAUGUCUUCAGUGGACAUCACCCAUCGCAGAGCCUCCACCUCACUGCCCGACAACAGAGGUAAAGAGUGCCAAGAAGAUCCUAGAAGUCAUCCAGAAGAUGAUGGAGCUGCUGACGGGAGAGGUUCCUAUAA